rnacentral:rRNA from 1 species
AGUGAACGCUGGCGGUAGGCCUAACACAUGCAAGCCGAACGGCAGCACAGUGAGAGCUUGCUCUUACGGGUGGCGAGUGGCGGACGGGUGAGGAAUACAUCGGAAUCUACUUUUUCGUGGGGGAUAACGUAGGGAAACUUACGCUAAUACCGCAUACGACCUACGGGUGAAAGCAGGGGAUCUUCGGACCUUGCGCGAUUGAAUGAGCCGAUGUCGGAUUAGCUAGUUGGCGGGGUAAAGGCCCACCAAGGCGACGAUCCGUAGCUGGUCUGAGAGGAUGAUCAGCCACACUGGAACUGAGACACGGUCCAGACUCCUACGGGAGGCAGCAGUGGGGAAUAUUGGACAAUGGGCGCAAGCCUGAUCCAGCCAUGCCGCGUGGGUGAAGAAGGCCUUCGGGUUGUAAAGCCCUUUUGUUGGGAAAGAAAAGCAGCAGGUUAAUACCCCGCUGUUCUGACGGUACCCAAAGAAUAAGCACCGGCUAACUUCGUG